AGAGGAUUUCUCUUUCUUGCCUGAAUCUGUGUGGCUUCUUCACUCCUCCAGCCGCCGGAGCAGAUUUUGCAGCCAAUUGCUGCCAGGGGACUUACGGUCAGUUUUCUUUGUACGAGCCAUUGAGAAUCUAAGAUUCAAAAGGGAUAGUUGUGAUUUGUUUAUACAGAUUUGAUUGUAAGUUCCCCUCCUCCUAUCCUAUCAACUGAGAAGCAUCACUGUCCAAUUGGGUGAUUUUUUGGUGAAAAUGUACUGCUGCCCACUCUCACCUUCAAAACAGAGUCCUUAUUCAUCUACUCAUUUUCUUUCCCCUUCAGCGACAUAUUUUGGGAUUUGUAAUGCAAGCAAAAGGGUGUCCAUUUCUCUAAUUAAUUUGGGAAAUGAAUCAAAGGAAUCGGUUUCUACUUCGAGACUAAAUUAUGGGUUCCUUCGUGCAACCAAAAGGGUGUCUGUUUCAGUGACUAGUUUGGGAAAUGGGGAUCGUUUGGUCAAUGUUAGGUGUGGAGAGUCGGCUGUGGAGCAUGAUGAUGGGUUUUAUAUAAGAAGGUGUGUGGAGAUUGCUAGGAAAGCAGUUGGGCAUACCAGUCCUAAUCCUAUGGUUGGGUGUGUAAUUGUUAAGGAUGGGAAGAUUGUAGGUGAAGGUUUUCACCCAAAAGCUGGCCAGCCACAUGCUGAGGUUUUUGCACUCCGAGAUGCUGGUGAUUUUGCAGAAAAUGCAACAGCCUUUGUGAGCUUGGAACCAUGUAAUCAUUAUGGAAGAACUCCACCUUGUACUGAGGCAUUAAUCAAGGCCAAAGUGAAAAAGGUGGUUGUCGGGAUGGUGGAUCCAAAUCCUAUUGUAGCUUCAACUGGUGUAAGUAGAUUAAGAGAUGAAGGAAUUGAAGUGAUCACAGGUGUUGAAGAAGAACUCUGCAGGAAGCUUAAUGAAGCUUAUAUACAUCAAAUGUUGACCGGAAAGCCAUUUGUCACACUCAGGUACUCUCUCUCAGUUGAUGGUGAUCUCUUGGAUCAGCUGGGUGCAGAAGUCACGGAGUCUGGUGGAUACUAUUCAAAAUUGUUACAAGAAUAUGAUGCAGUUGUUGUUUCUUCCUUCGUGCUGUCAACAAAGCAUUCUGUUCUUUCAUCUAAAGAACCAGGAGCAAAGCAACCUCUUCAGAUAGUAUUAGCAAAAAGUUCAGGUUCACUACAACUCCCUGCCGUUACAGCGAUAUCAUCUAAAACUAUAAUCUUUAGUGAUGAGGAGAUUGUUAUGGAGCUUGAAGCAAGUCAAAGAGGGAUAGAGACAGUAGUUUUGGAUAGGAUGAAUUUAACAGCUAUCCUUGAACAUUGCAAGCGUCAAGGACUGUGCAGUGUGAUGCUGGAUUUGAGAGGAAACUCUGCAGAAUUUGAGGAAAUCCUGCAAGAGGGUUUUGAACAAAAUUUGUUUCAGAAGGUUAUUGUGGAAAUGUUGCCAAUUUUGGGUGCAGGUUAUAAAGAGGCUUUCAAAUAUAUGCAGCAAAACCGAAGGCUGAAGAAUUUAACAUCGAGGACCUUAGGCGAAAGUAUUCUUCUGGAAGGAUAUUUCUAAGUGGAUGGAAGAUUUUAUAAUGAUGGUGAUCAUACAAGGUUAUCUUCCGCUUAUCACUGAAAGCUGCAACAAGUCUACAAGCAUAUCAAAGUUACAUUCCUGCCUCUAAAAGAGGGAGCUUGAUUUCUGAACCAGUGCUACUUUAUUCAUGUCACUUCAAACUAUACUGAAAGGUCCAUGGUAACCUAACAUGGUUAUGGGGAGUACAAGUCACAACAAAGGGUGUGUACUUCAUAUGGUGGACAUACCCCAUAAGUCUACCUUUUUCAUCAAACACUUUCUUCGCUGGGUCUUGUAUCUUCCAUGUGCCCUCCCCAACAAUUCGCUUAAAUCUUUUAUGAUGUGGCUUCUCUUUCUUCAACGGUGUAAUGAAGUAACCUGCGUUGGUGUUAGUGCCCUCAAGAAUCUCCCAUGACUCCUUGUCCGCGUAAAGAUCAACUAGUUGCAUGUAUUGAUGUUGCUCAAGAAGUGACUCGUCUAUCAUAAACACUAGUAAAUACUUGAUAACAUCCCUCUCCUUCGGGUAAAAAUAAUAGUUUGAAUAUCUCUUAGGUUGAUGAUGAUCACGAACAAUCAUUAUACUUUAGUGAUGAAUAUUAAACAAAUUAACAGUAGUGGAUGAAUCAAGCUAAAAGAAUAUCCCUAAAACCCUAGUAAUUAAGACAAUAUGAUCGAUAAAAGAGGUUGAUACUAUAAUGGUAUAAUGACUUUAGUUAGUGCAC